rnacentral:misc_RNA from 1 species
GAACUGCGAUAAGUAAUGUGAAUUGCAGAAUUCAGUGAAUCAUCGAGUCUUUGAACGCACAUUGCGCCCCCUGGCAUUCCGGGGGGCAUGCCUGUCCGAGCGUCAUUGCUGCCCUUCAAGCCCGGCUUGUGUGUUGGGUCGUCGUCCCCUCCGGGGGACGGGCCCGAAAGGCAGCGGCGGCACCGCGUCCGGUCCUCGAGCGUAUGGGGCUUUGUCACCCGCUCGAUAAGGACCGGCCGGGCGCCAGCCGGCGGCUCCAACCUUUUUUUCUCAGGUUGACCUCGGAUCAGGUAGGGAUACCCGCUGAACUUAAGC